UCCCUCGUGGCUUAGACAAUAAAGAAUCUGCCUGCAAUGCAGGAGACCCAGGUUCAAUCCCUGGGUGGGGAU
rnacentral:tRNA from 1 species